rfam:Andean potato latent virus (APLV) 3' terminus tRNA-like structure.
AAUGAAGGCAGUCCUUCUCCCUUUAGCACACAAAGGUCAAUGGGUGCGACUCCCCCCCUUUUCCGAGGGUCAUCGGAAACC